GAUAACUGGCUUGUGGCAGCCAAGCGUCCAUAGCGACGUUGCUAUUGAUCUUCGAUGUCGGCUCUCCUAUCAUGCGAAGUAGAACUCGCCAAUUGUUGGAUUGUUCACCCACUAAUAGGGAACGUGAGCUGGGUUUAGACCGUCGUGAGACAGGUU
rnacentral:ncRNA from 1 species